rnacentral:rRNA from 1 species
GACGAACGCUGACGGCGUGCUUAACACAUGCAAGUCGAACGGAAAGGCCUGCUUUCCCUUGUGGUUUGCGGGUACUCGAGUGGCGAACGGGUGAGUAACACGUGAGUGAUCUGCCCCCAACUUGGGUAUAAGCCUGGGAAACUGGGUCUAAUUCCCGAUAGGACUGCAGGGUGGUGCCUGUGGUGGAAAACGAUUUUCUAGUGGUUGGGGAUGAGCUCGCGGCCUAUCAGCUUGUUGGUGGGGUAAUGGCCUACCAAGGCGGCGACGGGUAGCCGGCCUGAGAGUGUGGACGGCCACAUUGGGACUGGGAUACGGCCCAGACGCCUACGGGAGGCAGGGGUGGGGAAUAUUGCACAAUGGGCGGAAGCCUGAUGCAGCGACGCCGCGUGGAGGAUGACGGCAUUCGGGUUGUAAACUCCUUUCGACCGCGAGGAAGCCACCUGGUUGGAAGGGUGGUGACGGUAGUGGUAGAAGAAGCACCGGCUAACUACGUG